AACCCAUGUUGAGGACAUUUCCGUAAGAGAUCCUUGAACCUGUCCCAUGUCUCAAAAAGAGACUCUAAGUCUAUUUGUACAAAAUAUAAUAUUUCAUUCCUAAGCUU